rnacentral:rRNA from 1 species
AUUGAACGCUGGCGGCAGGCCUAGCACAUGCAAGUCGAACGGUAACAGGAAACAGCUUGCUGUUUCGCUGACGAGUGGCGGACGGGUGAGUAAUGUCUGGGAAACUGCCUGAUGGAGGGGGAUAACUACUGGAAACGGUAGCUAAUACCGCAUAACGUCGCAAGACCAAAGAGGGGGACCCUCGGGCCUCUUGCCCUCGGAUGUGCCCAGAUGGGAUUAGCUUGUUGGUGGGGUAACGGCUCACCAAGGCGACGAUCCCUAGCUGGUCUGAGAGGAUGACCAGCCACACUGGAACUGAGACACGGUCCAGACUCCUACGGGAGGCAGCAGUGGGGAAUAUUGCACAAUGGGCGCAAGCCUGAUGCAGCCAUGCCGCGUGUAUGAAGAAGGCCUUCGGGUUGUAAAGUACUUUCAGCGGGGAGGAAGGGAGUAAAGUUAAUACCUUUGCUCAUUGACGUUACCCGCAGAAGAAGCACCGGCUAACUCCGUG